rnacentral:rRNA from 1 species
CAGUCGCCACGGUAAUACAGAGGGUGCGAGCGUUAAUCGGAUUUACUGGGCGUAAAGCGUGCGUAGGCGGCUUCUUAAGUCGGAUGUGAAAUCCCUGAGCUUAACUUAGGAAUUGCAUUCGAUACUGGGAAGCUAGAGUAUGGGAGAGGAUGGUAGAAUUCCAGGUGUAGCGGUGAAAUGCGUAGAGAUCUGGAGGAAUACCGAUGGCGAAGGCAGCCAUCUGGCCUAAUACUGUCGCUGAGGUACGAAAGCAUGGGGAGCAAACAGGAUUAGAUACCCGAGUAGUCCCUGUCUCUUAUAC